rnacentral:rRNA from 1 species
AUUGAACGCUGGCGGCAGGCUUAACACAUGCAAGUCGAACGAUGAAACUCUAGCUUGCUAGAGAUGAUUAGUGGCGGACGGGUGAGUAACAUUUAGGAAUCUGCCUAGUAGUGGGGGAUAGCUCGGGGAAACUCGAAUUAAUACCGCAUACGACCUACGGGUGAAAGGGGGCGCAAGCUCUUGCUAUUAGAUGAGCCUAAAUCAGAUUAGCUAGUUGGUGGGGUAAAGGCCCACCAAGGCGACGAUCUGUAACUGGUCUGAUAGGAUGAUCAGUCACACCGGAACUGAGACACGGUCCGGACUCCUACGGGAGGCAGCAGUGGGGAAUAUUGGACAAUGGGGGCAACCCUGAUCCAGCCAUGCCGCGUGUGUGAAGAAGGCCUUUUGGUUGUAAAGCACUUUAAGCAGGGAGGAGAGGCUAAUGGUUAAUACCCAUUAGAUUAGACGUUACCUGCAGAAUAAGCACCGGCUAACUCUGUG